CCUGGUUGAUCCUGCCAGCGGUGAUAUGCUUAGAUAAAAGAUUAAGCCAUGCAUGUGUUAGAACACAUCGAAUAACGAUGAAUCUGCGAAAGGCUCAUUAAAACAGCUAUAAUUUACUCGAUUUUGACUAUCUAAACGGAUAACUGCGAAAAAUUUGGAGCUAAUACGUGCACCUAAGCAAGAUACUCUGUAGCUUGCGCACUUAUUAGAUGAAGACCAAUCAGGGCAACCUGUUUUGGUGACUCUGAAUAAUUUCGCUGAUCGCAUGGUCUUGUACCGGCGACGGAUCGAUCGAGUUUCUGCCCUAUCAACUGUCGAUGGAAGUCCAUGUGACUGCCAUGGUUGUAACGGGUAACGGAGGAUCAGGGUUCGACUCCGGAGAGGGAGCCUGAGAAACGGCUACCACAUCCAAGGAAGGCAGCAGGCGCGUAAAUUACCCACUCUCAAUUCGAGGAGGUAGUGACUAUCAAUAACGAGACAGAUCUCUAUGAGGCCUGUUAUCGGAAUGGAUACAAUAUAAAUCCUUUAAUGAGGAACUAUGAGAGGGCAAGUCUGGUGCCAGCAGCCGCGGUAAUUCCAGCUCUCAAAGUGUAUAUCGUCCUUGCUGCGGUUAAAAAGCUCGUAGUUGGACCUGAGCUCGUGGACGCGGUACUCCAUGUGAGUAACUGUGCUCCUGAGCUGUUGUACCGGUUUUCCGUGGUUUGCUUUAAUCGGCAGGCUGCGGUGGCUGGUGUGUUUACCUUGAAUAAAUCAAAAUGCUCAAGAUAGGCGUCUCGCCUGAAUGACAGUGCAUGGAAUAAUGGAAUAAGACUUCGGUUUAUUCUGUUGGUCUUGGAACCGAUGUAAUGGUUAAGAGGGACUGACGGGGGCAUUUGUAUCGAUGCGUGAGAGGUGAAAUUCUUGGACCGCAUCGAGACAAACUACUGCGAAAGCAUUUGCCAAGAAUGUCUUCAUUAAUCAAGAACGAAAGUCAGAGGAUCGAAGGCGAUUAGAUACCGCCCUAGUUCUGACCGUAAACGAUGCCAACUAGCGAUCAGGCGGAGGCUGUCAAACCCUGCCUGGGAGCUUCCCGGAAACGAAAGUCUUCGGGUUCCGGGGGUAGUAUGGUUGCAAAGCUGAAACUUAAAGGAAUUGACGGAAGGGCACCACCAGGAGUGGAGCCUGCGGC
rnacentral:rRNA from 1 species